rnacentral:lncRNA from 10 species
AUCUUGAAUCCAAUAUUCAGCAUAAAGAGGAGACACUGCUGCUGGCCUGCAGACCUUGACAAUGUCACAUCCUCAAGAGAAGGAAACACGGGCAAGCUGUGGGACAAGCUCAACAUCAGGGCUGCACUUCUUGGUUUGUGUUGACUUAUUGUUGAUCUCAACGUUGGUGUCUGGAUUUUGAAGCUCCAUGCUCUAAAGAAACAUGAAGCUGAGGGUCCUACAAAGAUGUAAGUGGGGAGAAACAGAUGUCUGUAAAAUGGCGAAAUGUGCUGGUGUAUUUAAACACCAAAACUGUUGUGGAACAAGGACUGGAUGUGAAAAGAAGACUUGUUUUCUAAUGCCUGGCCUUGCCACCGUCCAACCAUGCACUUUAACCUCUCUAGGCUUCCUUAUCUAUGAAACAGAUAAUAUCUCUGUAAAAGAUUCUUGAAACAAUUAAAUGAGAUAAUUUGUAAACUCUCAAGCACCGUGCAAAUGUGAGAUACUGUUGUUGGAAAGCCAUGCUGUGACAAUGAAUACCUGGAGUACUGAAGAAUUAUCCCGUACAGUUGUGGAGUUUGUGCACUGCACAAGGGGUUGCAGCCCGGAAGGCCAACGGGGCCUUGCAAAACGGCUUUGGCUCAGGCUGGAUUCCUCAGGAAGGGGAGCACUUUCUUCUCAUACUAAGGCAUCGUCUGCUUGUAAAAUCAUGUACCCACCUGGAGGAGGUAUCUUUCUUCAUUCAUUCUUAUAAAGGUGCUGGAUUGGUUUUACACAUUUAUAUAUAAAUAUACAGCAGUGUUAUAUAUCUCAAUGGUAAUCAAACAUCAGACUACUUAAAGUGAUAAUAGAAUGUCCAUUUUU